rnacentral:snRNA from 1 species
UGCUCACUUCAGCAGUAUACUAAAACUGGAACAAUACAGAGAUUAGCAUGGUACCUACACAAGAAUGACAGGCAAAUUUAUAAAGCAUUUCAUAUUUUU